UGCUGCAUGGCUGUCGUCAGCUCGUGUCGUGAGAUGUUCGGUUAAGUCCGCUAACGAGCGCAACCCUCGCUGUGUGUUACAAGUGUCACACGGAACUGCCGGUCAUAAACCGGAGGAAGGUGGGGAUGACGUCAAGUCAGCAUGGCCUUUAUAUCCUGGGCUACACACACGCUACAAUGGGAAGGGACAAUAGGUUGCGAAGCCGCGAGGUGGAGCCAAUCCAGCAAAACUUCCCUCAGUUCAGAUUGCAGGCUGCAACUCGCCUGCAUGAAGUUGGAGUUGCUAGUAAACGCAGGUCAGCCAUACUGCGUUGAAUACGUUCCCGGGGCUU
rnacentral:rRNA from 1 species